CUCCGUGUCUGGUCGCAAUUACAAAGCAUUUAAAAACAAUAACAAUAAAGUUUUAAGUAUCAGGCGUGACAUUAAAAGCAGACGCUUUAAUGCUCCACCUGAGAGUAAAUCUGUAAGGCUUGUUACCAGCAUUCAGACAUCAAUUCUGCUUGCUUCACAGCCAGACAGGACACGGUAAAUAAAAAUAAAUAAAUAAAUAAAUUAGAUUACUGCCCCAGACUGCAGCCAGCAACAGACCAGACCGCGUGAAUCCAGAAACCAACAGUCUUAUCUUCUUUAUUCCUGUUUGCUGUGGCCCUCUCCAUCCUCACUGGCUGAGCUGCAGAUAUCUGCAUUUUUCUGACUAGCUGGCUUCACUUAUGACUGCAGACAAAAAAAGAGUAAAACAUAAAACUACUGGUUAAAAGUAUUGAUUUUCUAUCAUUUAGAAGUUUUGCUUUAGCAUUUUUAAUUAUUAUGACAUGAGUUGUAAUUUUAACACCAUGUAUUUAAUUGAAAUAGGAGAAAUAUCAGAUGUUUAAUAAAUCACAAACAUUUGGAAUGUUUUAAUAAACUGUAAAGCCUUAGUUUAUAAAUAAAAAAUGUUUAUUUAGAUGUUGAGGACGACACAAAUCAUUGAUGAUGUGUAACUAAACUUCAUUUUUUGAUUCAACAAACAAGUACAAAGUCUCAAGUCCUUUUACCUUGUAGUAUCACAGUAAUAUUUGAGCACGGCAAACAAAAGAUGUAUUUAAGGCUUGAGUCACAAAGAAAGCACAAAGCUGACCUGCAGAGCCUGACAGGAAAUGGAUGUAACAGUGAUUUUUACACUGUUGUUAAUCUGCUCUCUUACUGAGGCUCAGCUUCAACAACAACCUGAUCCUAACUCAAAUUCAUAUUUGAAGCCAGCAGGUUCCCAUGUAGAAGCAGGAAAUCCCUCAGAGCACCAACAAACAUGUACACAGGACAUCAAUGCUGUACUGAGAGAGAUGAGUGCCUCGCUGGCUGGACUGAAGGUGGAGGUGAAGUACUUACAGAAAGAAAAUGAAGCUAAAACACGAGAACUGGAGCUGCAGAAGCAACAGGACCAAGCAAAUAAAAAAGAACUGGAGCUGCUGAAACAACAGGACCAAGCUAAAACACGAGAACUGGAGCUGCUGAAACAACAGGACCAAGGUAUUGGAAACGAUGAAAAAAAAACAGUAGAUGUAAAAGUUACAAAUCAGAAAUAAGAAGGGCCUUUUUACUUGUAAGUGCUACUUUUGGUUACUGUUUAAAAACCAGUUAAUUGUUUUCUUAAUUUU
rnacentral:lncRNA from 1 species